UACGGAGGGUGCGAGCGUUAUCCGGAAUUACUGGGUUUAAAGGGUGCGCAGGCGGCUAAUUAAGUCUGGGGUGAAAACACGGGGCUCAACCCUGUGCGUGCCUUGGAUACUGGUUAGCUUGAAUAGUAUCUGGGCGUGCGGAACGCGACAUGUAGCGGUGAAAUGCUUAGAUAUGUCGUGGAACACCGAUAGCGAAGGCAGCACGCUGGGUAAAGAUUGACGCUGAGGCACGAAAGCGUGGGGAUCGAACAGG
rnacentral:rRNA from 1 species